rnacentral:tRNA from 1 species
UGGGGAGUAGCCAAGCGGUAAGGCAACGGACUUUGACUCCGUCACGCGAAGGUUCGAUUCCUUCCUCCCCAGCCA